CCCUUAGAUGUUCUGGGCCGCACACGCACUACACUGAAGGAUGCAGCGUGUACUCCUGGAUUGAAAGAUUUGGGUAACCCACAAAUCUCCUUUAUGCUAGGGAUUGAUGUUUGCAAUCAACCUUCAUGAAUGAGGAAUUCCCAGUAAGUGCAAGUCAUAAGCUUGUGCUGACUAAGUACCUGCCCUUUGUACGCACCGCCUCUCGCUACUACUGAUUGAAUGAUUUAGUGAGGACUUCGGACUGGGACCGAUGCGGCUUUCGGGCUGCAUCGGUAUUCUGAAAAGAUGUCCAAAUUGUAUCAUUUACAGAAAAUAAAAGUCGUAACA
rnacentral:rRNA from 1 species